CACCGCGGUUAUACGAGAGACCCAAGUUGACAGAUAAUCGGCGUAAAGAGUGGUUAAGUAAUACAUUUCACUAAAGCCAAACACCUUCAAAGCUGUUAUACGCACCCGAAGAUCAGAAGCCCAAUCACGAAAGUGGCUUUAAACCAACUGAACCCACGAAAGCUAGGGCA
rnacentral:rRNA from 1 species